UACGAAGGGGGCUAGCGUUGUUCGGAUUUACUGGGCGUAAAGCGCACGUAGGCGGAUCUUUAAGUCAGAGGUGAAAUCCCAAGGCUCAACCUUGGAACUGCCUUUGAUACUGGGGAUCUUGAGUCCGGGAGAGGUGAGUGGAACUGCGAGUGUAGAGGUGAAAUUCGUAGAUAUUCGCAAGAACACCAGUGGCGAAGGCGGCUCACUGGACCGGAACUGGACGCUGAGGCGCGAAAGCGUGGGGAGCAAACGGGG
rnacentral:rRNA from 1 species